UAUCACUUUAUCCGGUUUCACUGGGUGGGUAAUGUUUAGUUCCGCGGCGGCGGUAACGGCAGCGCGAGUAGGGCUUUGAGUUCGGUUCUGUCGCCGUGGACGGGGCCGGAGAUGGCGGAGUACAGUCAAACAGGUAUAUUAACGGCCCUGCUGCUGUUUACUGUGGUAACCGUGAAGGAUAUUUACGUGGGCCGUAACAGCAUGACUCAACAGGACAGCGCUGGACCCGAAAUAAACACACAGAGACAGAACAAACACACAUUAUACACUGGUCCGGUUCUCAAGUUCCAGUUCUGUAUAUCCUGAGGGUACAGCAAGGUGUUCCAGGAGUACUCCCGGUCCAUCAGCCAGCUGUACCCGGACAUCCGAAUCGAGGGAGAGAAUUACCCUCCCAAACCCAUCAACAAAUACGUUGGAAAUUUAAUCUCCUACUUCAAACUGCUUGCCAUUGCCUUGAUUGUGACUGGACAAAACCCUUUCCAAAUGUUCGGUAUGGACACUCCAAGAAUUUGGUCCUGGGGACAGGAGAAUAAGAUUUUCUCCUGCCUCAUGGCAUUCUUCAUUAGUAACAUGUUAGAGACCCAUUUCCUCUCCACAGGAGCUUUCGAGGUUACAUUGAAUGAUGUACCAAUUUGGUCCAAGUUGCAAUCGGGAUAUGUGCCCAACAUUCAGGAGCUUUUCCAAAUCUUGGAUAACCACCUGAAGAUGAAUCAGGUUGACAAGAUGAACUUUCCCUCCCCGUAGUGCUGUUGUUUUUGCCAAGAGACAGGUCUCUGGAGCUGUUUCUCUGGUCAGCGGGACAGUGGACUGUGGCAUAAUGAAGGCCUGCGCUGCAAACAGCAUGCUGUUAGCACAGGCUCGAUGCUCGGCCACCACACACACUCUUUCUGCCCAGCGACACACACCUUUGGAUUGACUACAUCUCUUCAGAGCGUCAGACUACAUGCAUUCAUAGUAUGAGCUAAAGGCACUACAAUUAAUUAUGCUGAAGCUUUUUUUGUUUUUUGAUCAGGGUUCUGUUUUUAAGUGCUUUCAGCUGAAAUUGACCCAUCUUUCUCAAGGGCAACCGUGAUGUUUUCUUAACAUAGACCUUUAUCAUGAUUAUUUGUUUGCACUGGUGUAGACUGUACUGUACUGGGGGUAUUGGACUUUUUAAGUAGUGGGAUGUGUCUCUAUAUUGUGGAAACAUGCAGUUUUGUUAGAGUGAGCUAGGUUAUUUUUUUUAAAUGCUUGAAAUUGUAAUUUUAUGUCUUGCUUGUCACAGGUUUGCUGGUUAGAUUCAUAAGUACAGCAUUUGUGGAGAAAAUUAGGGCCAGAUCUUCCUCUCUUCUGCUUAAAGUUGAACCGUGUACAUUAGCACUGCCAGAGUAAUCUGUGGAAUCAGCGUAACUCUUCACAUCGCUGCUGUGAGUGUUGCAUAUCAGAAGAUGUGAAUGGUAUUUCCAAAGACUCCCUCUAUUUUUCCAGCUCUCUCCAUAUAGAUGUGGCGAUAAGCAAUGUACCCCUUAUAUUUUAAUGUACCUCUCUGUGAAUUUGUAACAAAAGUGAUGCGAUAGUUGGGAUUAAGAAAUGAAAUUUUCACAGUGAUGUUAAAUAAAGAUUAAAAUAUUUCAAAA